GCGCCCGUACUCCAACUGGCCAGAGAGAAUGGCUUUAGGUGCCAUGUGUUGUCGGUUCGAGUCCGACCGGGCGUA
rnacentral:tRNA from 1 species